UGAACCUGAUUUUUUUUUUAAAUUACGACUGUAAUUGAAAUUUUUUCAUUUUCAUUUCAGUUAGCUACUGAACUAGAUAAUGUUGCCAACUGAUUACUGGUUUCACAACUGGGUGCGGUAAAAGGAAUUUGUGUGCGAUUUAGUGCUGUUGCCCAUCUAUGGUUUAGAUCAACAUGAAAAGUGCUCUGGUAGAUAUUUUACAUAUACACAGGUGAAAAAAUGUCCAUUUUGCUGUGCCAAACGAGAACUUUCUCACAAAGCAAAUUUUUGACAAAUCUGCCGGAGCAAAAACAAGCCACGCUAUUUUAAAUAAUCAAAUAUUUCACACAGCGAUUGCAAAUGUCUCUAAUAAAAAUAUUUUAUUUUGUUUCUUAAGAAUAAAAUAACUAACGAGAGACUUGAAUACUA